rnacentral:rRNA from 1 species
AGAGUUUGAUUCUGGCUCAGAAUCAACGCUGGCGGCGUGCCUCAUACAUGCAAGUCGAACGCGAAAGCGGCCUUCGGGCCGCGAGUAGAGUGGCAGACGGGUGAGUAACGCGUGGGUGACCUGCCUUCGAGUGGGGGAUAACCUUCCGAAAGGGGGGCUAAUACCGCAUGACAUCCCGCUCUUGGAUGAGUGGUGAUCAAAGCUGGGGAUCUUCGGACCUGGCGCUUGAAGAGGGACUCGCGUCCGAUUAGCUAGUUGGUGAGGUAGCGGCUCACCAAGGCGACGAUCGGUAGCCGGCCUGAGAGGGCGGACGGCCACACUGGGACUGAGACACGGCCCAGACCUUUACGGGGGGCAGCAGUCGGGAAUUGUUCGCAAUGGGCGCAAGCCUGACGACGCAACGCCGCGUGGAGGACGAAGAUCUUCGGGUCGUAAACUCCUGUCGAGCGGGAA